rnacentral:rRNA from 1 species
CUUGCUUUUUCUACAAUCUAGUGGCAAACGGGUGAGUAACGCGUAAACAACCUGCCCUACGGAUGGGGACAACAGCUGGAAACGGCUGCUAAUACCGAAUACGUUCCGAAAGUCGCAUGACUGUCGGAAGAAAGGAUGGCCUCUAUUUAUAAGCUAUCGCCGGAGGAGGGGUUUGCGUCUGAUUAGCUAGUUGGAGGGGUAACGGCCCACCAAGGCGACGAUCAGUAGCCGGUCUGAGAGGAUGAACGGCCACAUUGGAACUGAGACACGGUCCAGACUCCUACGGGAGGCAGCAGUGGGGAAUCUUCCGCAAUGGGCGAAAGCCUGACGGAGCAACGCCGCGUGAGUGAAGACGGCCUUCGGGUUGUAAAGCUCUGUUAUACGGGACGAAUAAUCUUGUGGUUAAUACCCAUAAGA